GCGCCGAUUCCAAGACUAGUCGUUGUCAAGAGCCUCAGGUGCUAGGAUGGCUUUCUUAGGAUUCCCCCACUGCUCUGAGGACCUACUUGGUCCAAUCCUAGGAAGAGUCUGAGAAACAUGUGGAGCUACAAAGCUUCAGCCAAGCCCAGCAUAUUCAGCUAAACUUCAGAACCCUUCACAUGUGCAAGCAAGGGCAGCUUGCAAUAGCUCAGCUCUACAGAUGUGUGGGAAUCAAUGCUUAUUGUUAUAUGACACAGUGUGUGUGGUUGCUUACUCCACAUCAAAAGCAAAGCCACCGUUUGAACCAUGCAAUAUGAUAGAAAGAGCCCAUGCCUCAAAGUUAACAACCCUGGCAGCGAAAUCCAGCCUGGAUUAAGAGAUGCAUUUCUUGAAACUCAGAGGACAAUGGCAUCUAUCUUACAGGAUCCUAGAGGAACUAAAAGAGAUCUGAGGUACAAAGCUUGACAGCAUCUCUCACUGGAGCUCAUCAAUUUAGCGCUACUGGCUGACCAGCAAGCAACAGGGAUACCCCUGUCUCCACCUCCCAGAACUGGGAUUAUAGACGUGGUCUGGCCAUUGCACCCAUGAACUCAGAGCAAUUGUGGUUGCCUUCACAAGACUUACACAAAAUGGGACAUGUCAACAUCCAAGAGUGAAUGAGGGAAGGAACUCAUGAAGCCCCAUCUCUCCCUAAGGAGCUCUUGGCACUUAAUGAUGACUAGAAUUAACAAAUGAGACGCAGCAGUACACGCUGGAGGCUGAGGCAGGAAGGUUGUUCCAACCUUUCUUGAACAACCAAGAUAGACCAAAAUCACAAAACCACAGAAAUCAUAUGUGUAAAUUCAAAGAACUGAAAGACUUGCAAGGAAACGCCUAGGUACCAAGAUGGCUGCUGUACACAGGUAGAGGUGGAGGCGAACUUGACGAAUGAUACUGUUAAUUUCUAUAGUAACCCCUAACAUGCUGUGGCGUUAGAUGAUAUAUUUGACUAUAUCCCAGAGCAGUCAUGAAAUAAGGAAAUGACAUAGCUCAGACCAACCUUGCUCAAUAGAACAUAAUAGGAACCACAUUCGCAGUUCUCUGUGUUCCAGUAGCCACAUAAAGAAGUAAGAGAAACAGUUGAAAUUAAUUUUAAUAAUACAUUUUAUUUCAUCCAGUGGAAAUGAGAUAUUAUUUUAGUGUGGAACCAAUAUUUUAAAAUUAACAAGAUAUUUUAUAUUCUUCCUUCCUUAUACCCCUGUAAGCCUGGUGUGUAUUUUAUUAAAUGAGCACAAUUCAGUUUAAACGCUGAAAUCUUUAGCAAGGCUUGAUUUUCCAGCUCAUAAAACUUACAGUUGAAACACUCUCGAGUUAUUUCAUACCUACUUCAUCCAGAAACUGAAGUGCGUGUAUGUCAGUUUUUAAACUGAAUUAAAAAUUCAGCUCUCAGUUGCAUAGCUCAUAUUUCAAGUGCCCAACAACCACAUGUGGCUACCAUAUUGGACAGCAUUGGUCAGAUAAUUUGGCCACCCACUUCUACCCUUACAAGCAUGUUUGGCUCAUCAGACAAAACAAGAGAAUAUCAUACUGUUUAGAGAAAGGCCAUCAGAACAUGAGAAAUAAUAAUCAAAUAUGACUUAUUUUUAUAAAGAGUUUUCAUGCAGAUGGCAUGGCAGCAACUAGAAAGGAGUAAGAGUCACACCGUUUUGGAAAGACUAAAGAGAAACAAACACUGACCAUCUCCCUGUUCCAAGCGAAAGCUGUUGUCAUAUCUUCAGAAUAAUGUGGACAUAAACAUAGUUGACAAAUAAAACAUUUCUGAAGCCCAAAACCUCAUAUUGAAGAAGGGUUCCUUUCUCACAACAUCCUUCUGCUUCAAAUUUUCCUACAUCGGUGGCUGUUCCAAGACCAUACCCCCUGAUGACAUCACCCCUACCCAAAAGAAAAAAAAAAACUAUGAAAACAUUAACUAUGCCCACCUUUCACCUAUCUCAAAAAAUGAAUAAAUAAAAGUCAAG